AGCUUUUCAAAUCCAUGCUGAGAUUUCGUCAGAAAUCAACCCAUUAGGGCUGAUCAGACUUUCAAGAUAAGUGAAGUU
rfam:Schistosoma haematobium scaffold425_5, whole genome shotgun sequence.